UGCAAGUCGAGGGGCAGCAUGGUCUUAGCUUGCUAAGGCUGAUGGCGACCGGCGCACGGGUGAGUAACACGUAUCCAACCUGCCGUCUACUCUUGGCCAGCCUUCUGAAAGGAAGAUUAAUCCAGGAUGGGAUCAUGAGUUCACAUGUCCGCAUGAUUAAAGGUAUUUUCCGGUAGACGAUGGGGAUGCGUUCCAUUAGAUAGUAGGCGGGGUAACGGCCCACCUAGUCAACGAUGGAUAGGGGUUCUGAGAGGAAGGUCCCCCACAUUGGAACUGAGACACGGUCCAAACUCCUACGGGAGGCAGCAGUGAGGAAUAUUGGUCAAUGGGCGAUGGCCUGAACCAGCCAAGUAGCGUGAAGGAUGACUGCCCUAUGGGUUGUAAACUUCUUUUAUAAAGGAAUAAAGUCGGGUAUGCAUACCCGUUUGCAUGUACUU
rnacentral:rRNA from 1 species